CAAAAUGUAUCAAGCAGGCCAUGAAAUCAGUUGCCAAGCCAAGCUGUCACUUCAGUCUGAAUUGAAAUCCAGUCUUGAAUUAAUAUUCGCUGAACUCGCACCAAAAAUUAUGAAAAGAAAUGCUUGUACCAAGUCGGAAAAGUCGGGGCUUAUACCAAAAGCGCAUUGGGCAGCAGCUGGUGACAGAUCUGAAUGGAAUCGGCACGGUGCUUGGGGCGAGAUUGUGCGAAUUGGGUUUCGAUGGCGCCAGCACUGUGCUUGGACACUUCUUGGUGCUGAAAAUGGACAAGGAAACGUUUAUACAGUGGCUAAAGGAUGCUUGCAAGGCAAACUCCAAGCAGGCCUUAGACUGCUACGAAUACCUCAAGGAAUGGUGCGAAUGCUUUUUAUAAGCGAUUACAAGUAAGUUUUCCACAUACCUUCGCUAGGCACUGUAUUCGUUCUAUCUAUCCUCCACUUCCUCAGGCACACCACCAAAAGCCCCACUAAUAAAUCGAAGAAAAAACUGUCUGAAAAAUGACGAGCUGACGAUUUGUUUGGGGUAUUUUGAUGUCGACAGGCCAGGGCAGGGCAGGCAUCAAUCCCGCACAGUGGAUACCUCACCCCGCUCCGCCCUUUCGGGCAGAUAGCAUUCAAAAAACUUAUUAUGCACAAAUAAAUACUCGAAGC
rnacentral:lncRNA from 1 species